GGCUCUCAUCCGGGCCCUUUUUCUCUGCUCGCCCUUGGGCUUGGAGGAAAGUUCCCCGGGGCCUCCGGCUCGGCGACGAAAGUCGGGCAGCUUACCUGCCUCGCUACCCUGCUGUGCGAAGGAUCCCGGCGCCGGGUCCUACUCGCAGCGCGUGAGCGUCGCGAGGCUCGGGAGGACGAGCAGGGGCGAGCCAGACCCCGCACCCAGCCGCAAGGGGCUGGCUAGUUGUAGGGCUACCCUGGCAUGAGGCUGUAAGAUCCGGCUACUUCUGUGCUACUUUCCGUUACAAACGCACUUUGUCCAGGAUCAGAUGUGUAAAUGCAUUUUUAAGCCUUUGCCUCCUUUCGAGGCCAGUGAGUGACAUUGAAAACAAAUUUUAAGGGUUUGUUUUUUUUUUUUUUUUUGUAGAUUAAAAACUUACCGUAAAA
ensembl:sense_intronic Gm43514 predicted gene 43514